rnacentral:rRNA from 1 species
AGCAGCCGCGGUAAUUCCAGCUCCAAUAGCGUAUAUUAAAGUUGUUGCAGUUAAAAAGCUCGUAGUUGAACUUCGGAAUUUGCCCAUUGGUCAGGCUUAACUGUCUGCACUGGUGUGACGAGUUCCUACCUUCUGAGGAAUCUCCAUGUCAUUCAGUUGGUGUGGGGGGGAAUCAGGACUGUUACUUUGAAAAAUUAGAGUGUUUAAAGCAGGCAUCCGUCUGAAUACAUUAGCAUGGAAUAAUAAAAUAGGACGGUUUGGUUCUAUUUUGUUGGUUUCUAGGAUCACCGUAAUGAUUAAUAGGGAUAGUUGGGGGCAUUAGUAUUCAAUUGUCAGAGGUGAAAUUCUUGGAUUUAUUGAAGACUAACUACUGCGAAAGCAUUUGCCAAGGAUGUUUUCAUUAAUCAAGAACGAAAGUUAGGGGAUCGAAGACGAUCAGAUACCGUCGUA